AAAAAAGAAGUAGCGUGUGCGUGUGUGUCGUUAUUGUUUUUCUGUAUUGCUUUGUUUCGAGAAUCCGUGUCAUUUUUGCUUCGAUCAUUUUCCCCAUUUUGUGCAUUCUUCAAAAACGAGCAG
rnacentral:ribozyme from 12 species